rnacentral:ncRNA from 1 species
UAGGACGAUCUUUGGCGCAUACAUAGAAGUAAGUUUCCAAUUAACUUUUCAGAAGACCUUGAAUAUUUAAGGAAUGACCUUAUCUAGUUUUCAGUAACUAAUUCUGACCAGUAUUGGAGGUGUUAUGCGUCUGGAUCGUCUUAC